rnacentral:rRNA from 1 species
UUUCAGUGGCGGACGGGUGAGUAACGCGUGAGUAACCUGCCUUUCAGAGGGGGAUAACGUCUGGAAACGGACGCUAAUACCGCAUAACAUUCUUAUUCCGCAUGGGAAAAGAAUCAAAGGAGCAAUCCGCUGAGAGAUGGACUCGCGUCCGAUUAGCCAGUUGGUGAGGUAAAGGCCCACCAAAGCUGCGAUCGGUAGCCGGACUGAGAGGUUGAACGGCCACAUUGGGACUGAGAUACGGCCCAGACUCCUACGGGAGGCAGCAGUGGGGGAUAUUGCACAAUGGAGGAAACUCUGAUGCAGCAACGCCGCGUGAGGGAAGACGGUCUUCGGAUUGUAAACCUUUGUCCUUGGUGACGAUAAUGACGGUAGCCAAGGAGGAAGCUCCGGCUAACUACGUGCCAGCAGCCGCGGUAAUACGUAGGGAGCAAGCGUUGUCCGGAUUUACUGGGUGUAAAGGGUGCGUAGGCGGCAGUGCAAGUCAGGUGUGAAACCCCUCGGCUCAACUGAGGGCUUGCAUUUGAAACUGUGCUGCUUGAGUGGAGUAAAGGCAGGCGGAAUUCCCGGUGUAGCGGUGAAAUGCGUAGAGAUCGGGGAGAACACCAGUGGCGAAAGCGGCCUGCUGGGCUUUAACUGACGCUGAGGCACGAAAGCAUGGGGUAGCAAACAGGAUUAGAUACCCUGGUAGUCCAUGCUGUAAACGAUGAUUACUAGGUGUGGGGGGUCUGACCCCUUCCGUGCCGGAGUUAACACAAUAAGUAAUCCACCUGGGGAGUACGGCCGCAAGGCUGAAACUCAAAGGAAUUGACGGGGGCCCGCACAAGCAGUGGAGUAUGUGGUUUAAUUCGAAGCAACGCGAAGAACCUUACCAGGUCUUGACAUCUGCUCAAUUUGGCGGAAAUGCUGAAGUGCCCUUCGGGGAAGAGCAAGACAGGUGGUGCAUGGUUGUCGUCAGCUCGUGUCGUGAGAUGUUGGGUUAAGUCCCGCAACGAGCGCAACCCUUGUGAUUAGUUGCUACGCAAGAGCACUCUAAUCAGACUGCCGUUGACAAAACGGAGGAAGGUGGGGAUGACGUCAAAUCAUCAUGCCCCUUAUGACCUGGGCUACACACGUACUACAAUGGGCGCCAACAAAGGGAAGCGAAACCGCGAGGCGGAGCGAACCCCCAAAAGCGCUCUCAGUUCGGAUUGCAGGCUGCAACCCGCCUGCAUGAAGCUGGAAUUGCUAGUAAUCGCGGAUCAUCAUGCCGCGGUGAAUACGUUCCCGGGCCUUGUACACACCGCCCGUCACACCAUGGGAGCCGGUAAUACCCGAAGUCGGUAGUCUAACCGCAAGG